rnacentral:rRNA from 1 species
UGGGGGAUAUUGCACAAUGGGCGAAAGCCUGAUGCAGCGACGCCGCGUGGGGGAUGAAGGCCUUCGGGUUGUAAACUUCUUUUGCUCUGAACAAGGCAUGCCUUUGGGGUGUGUUGAGUGUAGGGGUUGAUUAGCGCCGGCUAACUACGUGCCAGCAGCCGCGGUAAUACGUAGGGCGCGAGCGUUGUCCGGAAUUAUUGGGCGUAAAGGGCUUGUAGGUGGCUGGUUGCGUCUGUCGUGAAAGCUCAUGGCUUAACUGUGGGUUUGCGGUGGGUACGGGCUGGCUUGAGUGCAGUAGGGGAGUCUGGAAUUCCUGGUGUAGCGGUGGAAUGCGCAGAUAUCAGGAGGAAUACCGGUGGCGAAGGCGGGUCUCUGGGCUGUUACUGACGCUGAGGAGCGAAAGCGUGGGGAGCGAACAGG